AUGAAAGAUUAUACACAGCUUACACCCUCAACGAGAAAGUGAAACACUUUUGUGGUGAGAAUGGAUUGACCUAUGUCGGCCACCCUAACUUCAUGUCUUCCGGGGGAGUAAGGCAGGAGUUCAUUGCCUGCGAUGGGCUUCACCUGAGACCAGCAGGACAGAAGCAGCUGGCUUCAGAUAUUAUCUGUGCUCUUUCGGCGGUAUGUU